UACGAAGGGGGCUAGCGUUGUUCGGAAUCACUGGGCGUAAAGGGCGCGUAGGCGGCUUUGUAAGUCGGGAGUGAAAGCCUGUGGCUCAACCACAGAAUUGCCUUCGAUACUGUAGAGCUUGAGACCGGAAGAGGUUAGUGGAACUGCGAGUGUAGAGGUGAAAUUCGUAGAUAUUCGCAAGAACACCAGUGGCGAAGGCGGCUGACUGGUCCGGUUCUGACGCUGAGGCGCGAAAGCGUGGGGAGCAAACAGGG
rnacentral:rRNA from 1 species